rnacentral:rRNA from 1 species
UAGUCCACGCCGUAAACGAUGGCUACUAGCUGUCGGGACUUCGGUCUCGGCGGCCAAGCGAAAGUGAUAAGUAUCCCACCUGGGGAGUACGUUCGCAAGAAUGAAACUCAAAGGAAUUGACGGGGGCCCGCACAAGCGGUGGAGCAUGUGGUUUAAUUCGAUGAUACGCGAGGAACCUUACCAGGGCUUAAAUGUACGUUGCAUAGAGUAGAGAUAUUCUUUUCUUCGGACUACGUACAAGGUGCUGCAUGGUUGUCGUCAGCUCGUGCCGUGAGGUGUCGGGUUAAGUCCCAUAACGAGCGCAACCCCUAUCGUUAGUUGCCAUCAGGUUAAGCUGGGGACUCUAACGAAACUGCCUGUGCAAACAGAGAGGAAGGUGGGGAUGACGUCAAAUCAGCACGGCCCUUACGUCCAGGGCUACACACGUGUUACAAUGGCAUAGACAGAGGGCAGCUACUUGGCAACAAGAUGCGAAUCUCGAAACUAUGUCUCAGUUCGGA